UACAGAGGGUGCGAGCGUUGUCCGGAAUCACUGGGCGUAAAGGGUAGGUAGGUGGUCUUAUUUGUCUGGGGUGAAAUCCUUGAGCUUAACUCAAGAAGUGCCCCAGAAACGGUAAGACUAGAGUCCUGGAGAGGGUCGUGGAAUUCCCGGUGUAGCGGUGAAAUGCGUAGAGAUCGGGAGGAACACCAGAGGCGAAGGCGGCGACCUGGACAGAUACUGACACUCAACUACGAAAGCGUGGGGAGCAAACAGG
rnacentral:rRNA from 1 species